UAAAGUAAAACACAAGCUACAAAUUUUGUACUGUGCCUUAAUAUGAUUUUUUAAGGCCUCGUUGUUAUAUAAUUUUUUUUUUUUAUUGAAUACAUCAGCCCUUAUAUCUCUUAUAUGUAUUUUAAUAAGGGAAAAAUUUAUACAGAUCCUUGGCUCUAAACGGUCAAAUUAGAGCCUACCACAAAACUUUUACUAGAAGAGGUUGUUUUGAUGCCCAAAUAUCAUCAAAUUGAUCAUCUCGAUAUCUAGAUGUAUGGACAUAAGAAAAAAAUAGAUUUCAAGUUUUGAAAAUAGCGCAUGUUGUAAUGUAUUUUGGACCACCAAUUUUCAAGAUUUUAAAGUUUUCAUACACUACUUUUGAAGCUUUAAAUUUUAUAAUUAAAAAUAAAAUAAUAAUUUAAAGCUAUUAUAAAACUUUUCAAUAUUGAAACCAUAUUUCUCUCCACUAUUUGAAGGUAAAAUUGCACCUUUUUAAUAAACUUAUCUAAGUAUUAGUGGGUGUGGUUUCUAUAAGGUUGCAACCUUAAACAAUCCAAUUAAGGCACACCUCCAAAAUUUAUCAU
rnacentral:lncRNA from 1 species